rnacentral:rRNA from 1 species
UACGGGGGGGGCAAGCGUUGUUCGGAAUUACUGGGCGUAAAGGGCUCGUAGGCGGCCAACUAAGUCAGACGUGAAAUCCCCGGGCUCAACCUGGGAACUGCAUCUGAAACUGCUGGUCUUGAGUACUGGAGAGGGUGGCGGAAUUCCUGGUGUAGAGGUGAAAUUCGUAGAUAUCAGGAGGAACACCGGUGGCGAAGGCGGCCACCUGGACAGUAACUGACGCUGAGAUGCGAAAGCGUGGGGAGCAAACAGG